GGAAGAUUAAAUGAUGGGGUGCAAGCUCUUGAUUGAAGUCCCAGUAAACGGCGGCCGUAACGAUAACGGUCCUAAGGUAGCGAAAUUCCUUGUCGGGUAAGUUCCGACCUGCACGAAUGGCAUAAUGAUGGGGGCGCUGUCUCCAGCAGAGACUCAGUGAAAUCGAAUUCGCCGUGAAGAUGCGGUGUACCCGCGGCUAGACGGAAAGACCCCGUGAACCUUUACUGCAGCUUGACAUUGAAUUUUGAUCUUACUUGUGUAGGAUAGGUGGGAGGCUUUGAAACCGAGACGCUAGUUUCGGUGGAGCCAAUCUUGAAAUACCACCCUGGUAAUAUUGAGGUUCUAACUCUGUCCCGUUAUCCGGGACGAGGACCAUGUCUGGUGGGUAGUUUGACUGGGGCGGUCUCCUCCUAAAGAGUAACGGAGGAGUACGAAGGUGCGCUCAGCGUGGUCGGAAAUCACGCGUAGAGUAUAAAGGCAAAAGCGCGCUUAACUGCGAGACCCACAAGUCGAGCAGGUACGAAAG
rnacentral:rRNA from 1 species